GGAGGCUACUGCUAUCGGAGUCCGAUUAAGCCAUGCGAGUCGAUCGUCCCUUCGGGGGCGAGGCGAACGGCUCAGUAACACGUGGAUAACCUACCCUCGGGUGGGGGAUAACCUCGGGAAACUGAGGCUAAUACCCCAUAGGCCAUGGACGCUGGAAUGCCCCAUGGCCGAAAGCUCCGGCGCCCGAGGAUGGGUCUGCGGCCUAUCAGGUUGUAGUGAGGGUAACGGCCUCACUAGCCGACGACGGGUACGGGCCCUGAGAGGGGGAGCCCGGAGAUGGACUCUGAGACACGAGUCCAGGCCCUACGGGGCGCAGCAGGCGCGAAACCUGCGCAAUGCUCGCAAGCGUGACGCGGGGACUCCGAGUGCCGUUACCACAAUGUGGUGACGGCUGUUCCCGUGCCUAAAAAGCACGGGGAGUAAGGGCUGGGUAAGACCGGUGGCAGCCGCCGCGGUAAUACCGGCAGCCCGAGUGGUGGCCACCAUUAUUGGGUCUAAAACGUCCGUAGCCGGCCUGGUAAAUCCCUCGGUAAAUCGAACGGCUCAACCGUUCGGCCUCGGGGGAGACUGCCAGGCUUGGGACCGGGAGAGGCCGGANGUACUCCCGGGGUAGGGGUGAAAUCCUGUAAUCCCGGGGGGACCACCAGUGGCGAAGGCGUCCGGCUUGAACGGGUCCGACGGUAAGGGACGAAAGCCAGGGGAGCAAACCGGAUUAGAUACCCGGGUAGUCCUGGCUGUAAACGCUGCGGGCUUGGUGUUGGGGGUCCUUCGAGGGCGCCCAGUGCCGGAGCGAAGGUGUUAAGCCCGCUACCUGGGGAGUACGGCCGCAAGGCUGAAACUUAA
rnacentral:rRNA from 1 species